rnacentral:SRP_RNA from 1 species
GCCGGGCGUGGUGGUGCACACCUGUAGUCCCAGCUACUCGGGAGGCUGAAGCAGGAGAAUCACUUGAACCCAGGAGUCGGAGGUUGCAGUGCACCAAUAUCGUGCCACUGCACUCCAGCCUGGGUGACAAAGUGAGACUCUGUCUCAA